rnacentral:lncRNA from 1 species
AAGCGGACUAACCCCUUCAAGUGCCCCAACACACGCUAUUUCUACAGCCACUUGAGGUACAGCGGGGAACCAGCUGCUUUUAGGAGCGAAUUGCCUCAAGUCCUCCAAGUUCUCCCCUCAACCCGGUUCCCACAGCAGCAUGGGCCGAGCUCCCCCUCCCACAGCCCUCUCCACAGCCCUGCCCUGCCCGCAGGCGGCUCAGCAAAGCCACGAGGGGCACCAGGGCACUUCAGGAGCCCUGAGGAGCCACCAAGGCCGCUUUUCGGGGCGGAACGGGGCUGAUUUCUGCCAUAAAUCCCCCAAAUUCCCCUGAGGGAGCCCUGAGGGCGCUCCCCCAGCACCCACCUGCCGCCGCCGCUCGCCUCACGGCCCCGCCCGCCGCAAACGGCCCUUUUGCGGCAGCGCCGCUUGACGGCAGCGCGUCGCCCUUCCCGCCCCCAGCGCGGCCCGGCCGCCAUCUUGAGUGUGGCACAGGGCGGCUCCCUACCCCCCGAGCCAUGCGCGCUGGCUGAGGCGCGGUGCCCGGCGCAUGCGCAGCGCGGCCGGCGGGGGACGGCGGCGGGCGAAUUGAGCGGCCGGGCCUGAGGUAGGGCAGGGGCGGCGGGCGGGGAGCAGGGAGCGGGGGCUGCUCGGGCGGCUCCGGCCCUCACGGGGCUCGGUGCGGGUCUCCUGCGAGCCUCCUGUGCGAGGCAGCUUGCUUAAUUAAUUGUUUUAGUUAUGCUAAAUGCUAAAUACCCGCGCAGCGUGGGUAGCUAGCAGCGAUCGCGGUGUUUUUUGUACCCAAAUCCUUGCUCGAUUCGAGUCCCCCCCAGGUUAAUCCCGACACCCGAGGGCACAGCUCUCUGCCUGCAGGAAAAAAAUACAAAAUAUUCCCGUGUUACAGCUUCCUGACCGCGUCCAGAAAGCGUCCAGCCUGCCCGGGUGUGCCAGGAGCCUCCAGCGUUGUGGGGAGCAGCCCCCGGGCUGGUGCUCCCGUGGCUGCCAGCCCUGUGGUGGGGCGCUGGGCUGAGCCUGCCCCGCUUCCCAGUCCUUUUUGUGCCUGUGUUUCCUUUUCAUGCAGAUGUGCAGAGAGAAACACGCCACAGAGUACGUUGCUUGCAAAAACAGGUGCAGCUGGGAGGCGUUUUAGGCUGUGGUUUCACGAGCAGUGCAACCAAAUAUGAGGCGAUCGGCAGCUCCAAGUCAAGUGCUAGGAAAUGUAGCCAAAAAGCCGAGGUUUAUACCACCAGGAAAAAGUAAUGCGCUCUGUCCCAAGACUGAAACUAAGGAGGUGGACCAAGACUUGUAAUUAAAGGAGGUAAAACUGAACAAUGCACUAAAAAUUAUAUCUAUUUGAACACCGUUGUUACUAAAAGGUAGCAUUGAGCUCACCACAGAC